ACGUGAGGUUGAUUGCGUGUGUCU
rnacentral:siRNA from 1 species